UUCAUUUUUUGUAAAUGUCAGUUUCAAAAUGAAAUGCGUUACGUACGUAAACCAGCGGCCAGGGGCUCUCGCCUGUGACGUCAUCAGCAGACUGGGACUUCUCCGGCUCCAGUGUCUCUUGGUCAAUAUUUACCGUAAUUUCCAGUGUUUUCCAAGUAUUUCCAGCUGUUUAUAAACUCAGGUACAUAUGUCUGGAGUUCAAGGACAGGGCAGCAGCAGAGGAGGCAGUGAGGCAGAGGAACAAUUACAAGCUAGACAAGCAGCACACGUUUCUCUGUAAUCUCUUCACGGACUUUGAGAAAUAUGACAACAUACAUGAGGAGUUUGUCGCACCUGUCCCCGAGCCUUAUAAGAUUGGUGAUGAGUAUUUUACAUUCCAGUCCACCCCAGCCUCCCCCAGUCCACUCCAGCCCCCUCUCCACCCUUCACUUACCACCCAUUACUUUCC